GGUGUAGUAUAUUUGGUGUAUGUAAUGAUUGUAAGGUGUCGUCUGACCUUGACCUCAUUUUCAUCGUUCAAUGAUUAUAGUAAAGUUUUUGUGUUUUGGACUGUUUCUACUGUAUGCAAUAGUCUACUAUAUUUGGUGUAUGGUUUGAUUGUAAGGCGUACAUGUCCAACUGACCGGUGUACUCUGACCUUGAUCUUAUUUUCGUGGUUCAGUGGUCAAAGUUAAGUUUUUGAUUUUUGGUCUUUUUUUAUAAUACUAUAUGCAAUUAUAGGUCAACGAUAUUUGGUGCAUGUAAGGAUUUUAAGCUGUACAUGUCUGUCUGGUUCUUCUGACCUAGACCUCAUUUUCAUGGUUCAUUGGUCAAUGUUUAGUUUUCUUAGUUAAGUCUGUUUCUAAGAAAAUGUAAGCAAUAGGUCAACUAUGUUUAGUGUAUUGAUUGAUUGUAAGGUGUACAUGUAUUUCUUGUUUGGUUUAUAUGGCC
rnacentral:lncRNA from 1 species